UACGUAGGGUGCAAGCGUUAAUCGGAAUUACUGGGCGUAAAGCGUGCGCAGGCGGUGAUGUAAGUCAGAUGUGAAAUCCCCGGGCUCAACCUGGGACCUGCAUUUGUGACUGCAUCGCUAGAGUACGGUAGAGGGGGAUGGAAUUCCGCGUGUAGCAGUGAAAUGCGUAGAUAUGCGGAGGAACACCGAUGGCGAAGGCAAUCCCCUGGACCUGUACUGACGCUCAUGCACGAAAGCGUGGGGAGCAAACAGG
rnacentral:rRNA from 1 species